rnacentral:rRNA from 1 species
AUACGUAGGUGACAAGCGUUAUCCGGAUUUACUGGGCGUAAAGGGCGUGUAGGCGGUCUUGCAAGUCAGAAGUGAAAUUCCUGAGCUCAACUCGGGCGCUGCUUCUGAAACUGCAGGACUUGAGUGCUGGAGGGGAUAGCGGAAUUCCUAGUGGAGCGGUAAAAUGCGCAGAUAUUAGGAAGAACACCGGAGGCGAAGGCGGCUAUCUGGACAGUAACUGACGCUGAGGCGCGAAAGCGUGGGGAGCAAACAGGAUUAGAUACCCUGGUAGUCCACGCUGUAAACGAUGAAUACUAGGUGUAGGGGGUAUCGACUCCCUCUGUGCCGCAGUUAACACAAUAAGUAUUCCGCCUGGGGAGUACGGCCGCAAGGUUGAAACUCAAAUGAAUUGACGGGG